UGGUGCUGAAGUCAGGUUGUGCAAGAUCAUCCAGUGUUAAUGACUGUAUGACUAAGGAGAUGCUUGGAGCUGCGGAUAAAUUACACUGUUGGCCUAAACUAUGCUUACUUGGAGCAUUCAUGGUAAUUUUGCUCCCUUUCUGUUGUAUUUCACAUUCGGAGGAAAUCGUGAUUUCCCUUCAAAUCUCAGGUGGUUGUGUUGGAGUUUGAGAAGGUUGCAUUGAUAUGGGGUUUAAGAAGGUGGUUGUGUUGGAGUUUGAGAAGGUUGCAUGCAUAUGGGGUUUAAGAAGAGUUUAAAAAGGUUGUUGGGAGUAUAUAAAUUAGGACUGAUUUGCUUAUCUGCUUAAUCAUUAUUAUGUGGAUGUGGGCUUUUCCAAUUUUAUUUUGUUCUUCUUUUUAU